UAAACAGCCUUUUAGUGUGGACCAAUGAGAAGAUCAGUUUUCCAUUAUAUCACAGCCACAAUAGGAACCUGUUUUACCAGUACCAGCAAUGUAAAUAUGGCCAUAUUAUUUAACUAUGGUAAUGUGAUUGAGCUCAGGAUCAGUCAUUAAAACACUUUAAUGUAACAGCUAAAACAAGUUGGUGGAAGAUGUGCUGAUGCAGUCCAGCAAAACAUUCCUUUGUCACUGGGUUGGAGGUAAUGUUGACAGGCAGCAGAGAGGGUAUUGUCUCUGGGUUGGAGGUAAUGUUGACAGGCAGCAGAGAGGGUAUUGUCUCUGGGUUGGAGGUAAUGUUGACAGGCAGCAGAGAGGGUAUUGUCUCUGGGUUGGAGGUAAUGUUGACAGGCAGCAGAGAGGGUAUUGUCUCUGGGUUGGAGGUAAUGUUGACAGGCAGCAGAGAGGGUAUUGUCUCUGGGUUGGAGGUAAUGUUGACAGGCAGCAGAGGGUAUUGUCUCUGGGUUGGAGGUAAUGUUGACGGGCAGCAGAGAGGGUAUUGUCUCUGGGUUGGAGGUAAUGUUGACAGGUAGAAGUAUAAAUGGGAAGUAAAAGUGGUCGGUGGCUGGCGCCCCAGCCAGACUGAAGAAGACAGAUAAUCUGGAUCUCAAAUCCUGGCAUAUCUACAAACUUCCUGUGUGUCACCCUGAGAGAGAGACUGAAUGGGUGCCGGAUGGGGGGAGAGAGGGAGGGGUGUGCACUUCUCUGUGUGUCACCCUGAGAGAGAGACUGAAUGGG